ensembl:lncRNA
CGAGACCUGAGGAGGCAGGACCGAGUCUGUGGAGAAUCAGAACCAGGACAGUCAGGGAGAAUAGAGACACCUGAAGUUACACCAGGUGAGCUUUCUGUCCCGACAUGUUCCCAGGAAUGUGACAUAACCUGAGGACGAAAGGUGAAGAGCUCGGAGGUGUGGAGUGAAGUGAAUAUAGCAGUCGUGACAAACAAACAGGACAGUCAAGGGGAAAUUUUGGUCUAUGGAUUUUCAGCCUCAGUGAACUGACUUUAACUCUCC